UAACUCCUUUAAAUUAACGGAAACCCUUGCUUUAAUUAUUAAUUUUGAAAUAAAGCAGUUCACCAUCUAAAUCGGAUAUGAUCACAGGGGCCAAGACAAGUCAUCAUGGCCCAAAUGGUGUGGGCGAUAGACGUGCCACAUAUUCCUAUACAAAAUGAUGCGAUAAUGCGAAUUUGAGCUAAUCUAAUAAAGUAGGAUAUAACAAGGAUUGUAGUCUGAAACUCGACUAUAUGAAUAAGGAAUUACUAGUAAUCGUGAAUCACAACGUCACGGUGGAUUUAAUCUCAUUUGGGUACUAACUACUCGUCAGGCGCUGAAAAAAGUGUGUGCAAUAAGUUUGUUUUUUUCUUCGGAUUGAUUCUAGAUAAUAAGUUCUAGUUUUCUAUAAGGAAAAGCUUCGUAUGCGUGACUUUAAUUAGUGUUAAGUCGAAAUAUGGUUCGUGUAGUGGAAGUUGCACGGGGUUUAUUAAACAU
rnacentral:ncRNA from 1 species